rnacentral:lncRNA from 1 species
UACUAUAGUAGAUAUUCAUGUAUGCUUUCUGUUCCAGUUACAGUAGCGGUAGCCGUUAUUCAAUCUAGUUCCUACUUUCUUUCAGUUUAUUGCUACUGUAUUCAGUAUAUCUGCUCAUCACCUUAUACAUCUCUUUCGUUUAUUAUUGUUCCUACUAUAUUUCUACUGACCGGUGUUGUUAUAUAGCUCUCCUGAUCCGGUGAGUACUCCUCGCCUCUUCGGCUUGCGGUACCCACUGGGAGGGGAGACAUAUUUACAUGUUCUCACCUCCCCCACUAUUUUUCAGGUAUCGCGGGCGGUAAGGGUUGAGACUGGACGUGAGAUACGUAGCAGUCGAUAGAACUUCUAACCAGGUUAUUCGGUUUAGUUCUACCCUUACUAUUAUGUUGAUAUAGCUUAAAUAGUUUAUAUGGUUCAGUAUAUUUUAUUACAUUUGAAAUAUUGGUUUUCAUGAAUGUAAUAAAUGGAUUUGUGAAUUUUGUGAAAUGGAAAGGUUUCUACCCUCGUGUAGCGUUUUUAAAAUAAAGGUUUCUGUAUAGGAAACAGUUUUCAAAAGAAUUUUCUGUGGAUUUAUGUUUAAAUAUUAAAUCAAAUCUGUGAUGUGAAUGGUGAAUGUAUGAAUGUAUGAAUGAAUAAUUAUUUCUAUAUCAUUUAGUUGUGGUUGUAUCCUGUUUGUACUGUUGUAUUGUCGACGCCUGCAAAUACAGGGGAGACUCUGUCCGUGUGAACAGUGGAAUUCCUGAUUUGUGGCGGAUCUGGCAUACUCUGGGGUCAGGUUUUCAAAAAAAAAAAAAAUUUAGACGCUUUUUUCGCUGUGUUCAAACAAAAAGAGACCCGGGGCAUGACAGUUCAAUCUUGACUUUAAACUAGCUCUAGUGUUUCUUUCAUCACUUUUUGUUGCCUACUAGCAAUCAUUGUUCUUUACCAUUCAUUACUCUUGCUAACUCUAGCAAUCAUAUUCUUUACAUUCUUUACUUUUGGCUACCUCUAGCACUUCAUGUUCUUUACUCCCACAUUACUUUAACUUUAACCAUUGUCAUUUUCAUCAUUCUUUAUAUUACAUUAGUUCUUUACCUCACACUAUCUCUAGUGUCAUUUCAGUUAACUUUACCGAAUGCCACUCGAUCUAUGUCAUUGUGUCACUCGUUCUUUUGCUCACUUUGGGUGCUCACUUUUCUCUCAUGCAUACACAGAUUUUUGACGUUCACAUAGUUCUCAUUCAUCAUAUUAUGCAAUUUGUACUCACAAUCAUGCUGUGACACCCAAUAAUCCCACAUCGGAUGGAAAUGGGGUUGUCAUUGGGUUAUAAUAGACUUAGACACUAGUAAUAAUAACUGGGGCUUAACAUUUUGGCUGGUUGUUGGCCAACGAGUUAUUGUUGCUAGUGGGCUGGUCGUUACAUUUGGUAUCAGAGCCGGUUCACCAGCUGGACAUGUAUGGCGAGUCUCGGUAAGCCAGGGUCUGGAUGACGGGCUAGCGAGACGGAUCUCACAUCGCCUCUGAUCUUGGGCUGUGUGUGUGAUUGGAUCCCACCACCUCGGCCAGAUCUGCUCAGAUCUGGCCGCAACUGUCGAGGGUGGUGGUGGCGGCGCUCGGGGGCGGCCGGGACGGCGGUGGCCAGCGGCGAUGAUGUUGGAGAAUGGUCUCGGCCAGAGGUGGGAGUCCGAGGUGUGGGUUCACCCUGGUAGCAGCACAAGUGGGUGUGAAGGGUGUGAAACAAGGAACAAUGGAGAGGUGGAGGAGCAGCCAGCUCCGGCGGGCGGCAGCGUGCUGCGUGAGCACCGGCUCCGCCUGGUUGGCCGCAUCCGUCCACCGCGGCUAACCCGCCGCCGGAGCUCUCUUGUCAACCGAAGUGAGCCCAUGCUCUCCUCGGUUGUGCACUAGGGCAUCGUUCCGCCGUCGUCGCCGCUCCCGUCGCCUGUUGACGCGAGCCCCGCCCUCCUCUGACCUGGAGCACCUUCUUGGCCGGCCUGCCCGCCGUCCAGCCGCCGCCGGCCACCCGAGCCCUGCCUAGCUCCGUAACUUGUAUUGCUAUUAUUGUGCACUGUUUGGGGUUGUGUAUACUGUUCCGGCCACGAGGCUGUUCCGAUGCCUCCAGAAGUGAGCACGGAUCAUCAGUCAGUGCUGAUCACAGUGCUCACCUCAAUUAGGGUCAGUGAGCCCCUGGUUAGCGAGAUAAGCAUGCUUUUCAUGCUGUGCGUGCUGUUCGCAGACUUUCGCAUCACCCCGCGCUCUCUACAGUGGCCGAAAUGGCUCCGAAAGGUGAGCACGGCCUCCGGCACGUCGAAACCUGUCAGUGGGUAUCUUGGCUCGGCUGAUUGACCUCUGGUUUGCAUGGACGGACCAUAAAAGUGCCGAAAUCGCAUGAAAUAUGCGAUUUCGGGUAUUCAGAAGGGCUUUUAUGCAACUUUGUUCGUCGCGGCAUCGCCUGUUGGCAGCAAGUAUGGGCUGAGGAUAACCUCCGGACUGAUUGUCCAAGGCCCCGGACCUUUGCGAAGAUCGAAAAGGGCAUUCCGGUGCGUUUGUCGGCAAAAUCCGCCGACGGAACGCGGUUUCUGUUCGGAAUUAUUCCGAUGGUGUCUCGGGAUGAUUUAUUGUGUCGCUGAGCCUAGUUGGUCGGUCACCCGUGUCAUUUCGAGGGUUCGGAAAUGACGGGUGAGCGACGGUGGGUUCCGGUGUCGAAAUAGACACUUCCGGGAACCCGGUUCGGAACGAUUAUCCGACGAUAAUCGUUUUGGAGUGAGUUAAGGUCUUUGCUGCCAAGUCGCAUGUAAAUUGUAUUUAGUGGCAGCGGGUGACUCGUAGUACGAGUUGGUGAGUUCCGGGACAGUCCGUGAGUCCCGGCAGAGUCUCGGUGCGGUUUUCGGGACUUCCGUUUUGUUCGGUAAUCGGUUUUGGGAAACCGAUCUCCGUGGUUUAUUUGUGGGGUUAUGCUUUUAGGGUUUCUUAGUUGUGGGUUAGACACUAACCCAGUGGACCCUCCUUAGGUCCUGUUGACGUUCUUUUGCAGUCAGGAGACAGGCGCGACAGUUGUACAGGUGGGUACUUCGAUCCGACGUUGGUACAGUGGUGCACGCUCGGUGAUGGUUUCUUACCCUUGCUCUUUUGUUAUUAUCCAUCCUUAUAUUAUAUGUUGAGCUUUGCACCUCUAUUGUUUACAUUACACCCACGUUGUUAGAUUAUACUCUACUCAGAUGUUUCCAUGCUUAGUAUCAUGUGUAGGAGUAUAGUCUAUCUGUAUGUGAUACCAUGUUUUCUUGUUGCUCUACUUAGCUAUUCUGCAUACCCUGAUUCGUGUUUAUAGUAGAGCGAUUCCGUGAUUAUCUGUGAGAUCAGCGAUCUAGUCGGUCGAUUCUAGUAUUCAGUAUUUGUGACCUAUUCGAUGAGUUCCUCGACCUUUGUUGUCUGAUGACCGUUGAGGUCGGUAUACCCUGAGGGGUAGGAUUGUCGGUUAGUUGCCGACGGAUGAUUAUAUUUUACUCAUAUUCACUAUUUGACAUGUUUGUGACCUAGUCGGUCAGUGCAUCAUAUCCUAUACUUGUGACAUGAUUGGUCGAGUUUCAUGUCCUAUACUUGUGACGUGGUUGGUCGAGUUUCAUAUCCUAGUUGAUCUGAGUGGUCAGUCCUUGUGGUUCAUUGAGCAGUAUUUGCAUAUGUUUGAGAGGAUGUCGAUGUUGUCCCAUCCUAGUUGACCUGAGUGGUCGGUUCUUGUGCUUCUUUACAGUUGACGACCUAUGCGGUCGAUGGGCCCUGGGGGGCAGGAUUGUCGGCUGGUUGCUGACGGUUGAUCAUUGAGCAUAUUGCAUUGAUCGCCCGAUACUCGUCGCAUUUCACGAACACUGGCGGUCUGAUCCAUCGCAAGGAGUGUUCUUUUUCGGAAAAGUGGUUGAAUGGUGACAACCCGUGAGCCCUAGAGGGGUUAUAUGCACUGGAGAGUAGUAGUGGCAUUGGCUUGAGGUCUGCGGUGCUGACCAAGAGAGCAUUGGUUUUAGAUUGGGUACUUUUGGACUGAUUAUCCCGUUGACGCAUACGCCUAUAGUAGCAGUUGUUGCAUGCAUACUUACAGUUCUUUCUAUAUACUUGUCUUGCUACUAUAGUUUGAUACCCAGGUAUGUUUUAUAUUCUUCUUGCAGUAGCGGUAGUUGUUCUUAUACAUUCUGUUCAUGUAUUAUUGUUGCUACUGUAUUUAGUAUAUAUGCCCAUUACCUUAUACAUCUCUUUCGUUUACUAUUGUUCCUACUGUAUUCCCACUGACCCGUAUUGUUAUAUAGCUCUUCCUGAUCUGGUGAGUACUCCUCGCCUUCUUCGGCUUGCGGUACCCACUGGGAGGGGAGACAUGUUUACAUGUUCUCACCUUUCCUACCAUUUUUCAGGUAUUGUAGGCGAUGAGUUUUGGGACGAGACGUGAGGUACGUUCGUAGCGGUCGAUAGAGCUUCCGACCCAGGUUAUUGGUUUAGUUCCUACCCUUACUAUUCUGUUGUUAUAGCUUAGAUAGUUAUAUGGUUCAGUAUUUUUAUUACAUUUGAAUAUGUGGAUUUUCGUGAAUGUAAUAAACGAAUUUCUGGAUUUUGUAAAAUAAAAUAUUUUCUACCCCUCGUGGUAGCGUUUUUUUAAAAGAUAAAAGUUCCUGUGUAGGAAACAGCUUUCAAAAGGUUUUCUGUGAUUUUGUAUCUUAGUAUUUCAAAACCUAUUUCUGUGGUUGGAAACAUUUUAACUGAUAAGUGUGGAUUUAUGCAUAAAUGUGAAUCUGUGGUGAAUGGUGUAUGAAUAUAUAUAACGGUUGGUUAUUUGUAUGUUCAUUUGUUGUGGUUGUGCCUGGAUGACUUCUUGUACUUGUGCGACGCCGUGCAAAUACAGGGGAGACUCUGUCCGUGUGAACAGUGGAUUUCCUGUAUUUGUGGCGGAUCUGGCAUACUCUGGGGUCAGGUUUUCAAAAAAAAAAUAAUCAGACGCUUUUCCGCUUUGUUUUAAACUGAAAAGGGAUCCCGGGGUGUGACCGAUUAAAUCGUUGGGCUCAGUCAACAGCCUAAAAUGCUUAAGCCCAAAAUGCGAUUUCAUGUAUCGGUAUGGGCUUUUAGGACUUUUGCUUCGAUGUAGAUGCUGUUGACAGCACGUUUGGGCUGAGGAUAACCUCUGGACUGAUCGUCCAAGGCCCCAAGCCCUUGCGGAAAUCGAAAAGUGAUUUUCGAUGCGUUUUUCGGCGAAAUCCGCCGAUAGAACACGGUUUCGAUUAGGAAUUCAUCCGACGGUGCCUCGUGGUUGAUUGUAGCGUCGCUGAGCCUUGUUGGCUGGUCACCCGCGUCGUUUCGAGGGUUCGAAAACGACAGGUGAGCGACAGUGGAAUUCCGGUGCGGUUUUCGGAACUUCGGGCUUGUUCAGUAAUCGGUUUUGGGAAACCGGUUCUCGUGGUUCUGGUGAGUGGGGAUUGUGUGUUAGCGAGACAUGUUAGUGGGUUAGAUUCUAACCCGUUGGACCUUUCGUAGGUUCGAUUGUUUCGUCUGCACAGUCGAGAGAUCUUCGUCAGACACGUACAAGUGGGUACUUCGAUCUGACGUUGGUGCAGUGGUGCACGCUCGGUGAUGGUUUCCUACCCUUGCUCUUUUGUUAUUAUCCAUGCAUAUAUUAUAUGUUGAGCUUUGCACCUCUAUCGUUUACAUUACACCCACGUUGUUUGAUUAUACUCUACUCAGACGUUUCCAUGCUUAGUAUCAUGUGUAGGAGUAUAAUCUAUCUGUGAUGUGAAUGGUGAAUGUAUGAAUGUAUGAAUGAAUAAUUAUUUCUAUAUUCAUUUAGUUGUGGUUGUAUCCUGUUUGUACUGUUGUACUUGUGCGACGCCGUGCAAAUACAGGGGAGACUCUGUCCGUGUGAACAGUGGAAUCCCUGUAUUUGUGGCGUAUCUGGCAUACUCUGGGGUCAGGUUUUCAAAAAAAAAAAAAAAUAGACGCUUUUUCCGCUGUGUUCAAAUAAAAAGGGACCCCGGGGCGUGACAGAUUAAAGAGGUAUCAGACCCCGGGGUCCCUUUUAGGUUAAAAUUCUAGUUGCUGAUGACCUAUACGGUCGAUGUGCCCUGAGGGGCUGGGUUGUCGUCUAGUUGCCGAUGGAAGAUCUUUGAGCAUACUACAUUGAUCGCCACUCCAGGUACGCAUUUCACGAACACCAGCGGUCUGAUCCACCGCAAGAGGGUGUUCUUUUCCGGAAAAGUGGUUGGAUUGCCAACCCGUGAGCCCAGGGGCUUUAUUGCGAGGGUAUAUGCUUCUGACCCAGGGGCUUCAUUGCGAGGGUCAGGUACAGGGUGAGCAGAGUGGCAUGGGCCUGAGGUCUUCGGACCAAUAGGGCAGCGAGAUUGAGUACUUUUGAGGUUAUCGUCAGUUGACGCAUGCAUACAGUAGCUGUAGUGUUUAUUUUCAGUACAUCCUUAUCUGUUUAUUGUAGUUACUGUUUUAUUUACCUGCAUCUAUACUUGUCAGCUCCCUACUUAUCAGCAUCUUGCUACUAUAGUUUAGCUGCAUGUAUACUUUCAGUUGUUCAUUACAGUAGCCGUAGUUGUACUUUCAUUUAUAGUUCUAUCUUUUUCGUUCAUUAUUGUUGCUACUGUAUUUAGUAUUUCACUUACCCAUAUUGUUGUUUAUCUCUCCCUGAUCCGGUGAGUACUUAUCGCCUUCAUCGGCUUGCGGUACCCACUGGGAGGGGAGAUAUGUUUACAUGUUUUCACCUCCCCCACCAUUUUUCAAGUAUUGCGGGCGAUGAGGUUUAGACGAGACGUGAGACACGUUCGUAGUGGUCGCUAGAGCUUCCGAUCCAGUUUGUUGGUUUAGUUCCUACCCUGUUUACUUUUGUUAUUAAUAGCUUUAAUAUUUCAUGGUUCAGUAUUUCAUUAUGUUUAGUUAUUCAAGAUUAUAAUUGGUUUUACGAAUGAGAUAAAGAUUUCUAAAUUUUCGUAAAUAAAAGGUUUUCUACCCCUCGUGGUAGCAUUUUUAAAAGAUAAAAGUUUUCGUGUAGGGAACAGUUUUCAAAAGGUUUUCCGUGGAUUUAUACUUGAACUAUGAAUGAUAAAUCUGUGAUGAAUGGUGAAUGAAUAGUGAUUGUUUUUUUUUAAUUCAUUAUGGUGGUUGUAUCCUGGUUAUACUCUUGUACUUGUGCGACGCCGUGCAAAUACAGGGAAGACUCUGUCCGUGUGAACAGUGAAUUUUCUGUAUUUGUGGCGAAUCUGGCAUACCCUGGGGUCAGGUUUUCAAAAAAAAAAAUUCCGCUGUGUUUUAACCUAAAAGGAACCUCGGGGAGUGACAGAUUAAAGUGGUAUCAGACCCCGGGGCUCUGAUACCAAAUGUAACGACCCAGCCCACUAGCAAUAAUAAAUCGUUGGGCCCAGUCAACAACCCAAAAUGCUUAAGCCUAGUUAUUAUUACUAGUGUCUAAGUCUCUUAUAAACCCAAUGACAACCCUAUUCCCAUCCGAUGUGGGACUAUUGGGGUGUCACAGACUUCCCCCGUUAAGGUCCUGACGUCCUCGUCAAUCCAAUCACACACAGCCCAAGAUCACCAAGCUAUGUGAGACUCGUCUCGCUAGCCCGUCAUCCAGACCCUAGCUCAGCCGAGACUCGCCACACAUGUCCAACUGGUGAACCGGCUCUGAUACCAAAUGUAACGACCCAGCCCACUAGCAACAAUAACUCGUUGGGCCCAACAACCAGCCCAAAAUGCUUAAGCCCAGUUAUUAUUACUAGUGUCUAAAUCUAUUAUAAACCUAAUGACAACCCCAUUUCUAUCCGAUGUGGGAUUAUUGGGGUGUCACAAACUCCCUCCGUUAAGGCUCUGACGUCCUCGUCAGUCAAAUCACACACAGCCCAAGAUCACCAGGCGAUGUGAGACUCGUCUCACUAGCCCGUCAUCCAGACCUUGGCUCAGCCGAGACUCGCCACACAUGUCCAGCUAGUGAACCGGCUCUGAUACCAAAUGUAACGACCUAGCCCACUAGCAAUAAUAAAUCGUUGGGCCCAGUCAACAGCCCAAAAUGCUUAAGCCCAGUUAUUAUUACUAGUGUCUAAGUCUCUUACAAACCCAAUGACAACCCUAUUCCCAUCCGAUGUGGGACUAUUGGGGUGUCACAGACUCCCCCCGUUAAGGUUCUGAUGUCCUCGUCAGUCCAAUCACACACAGCCCAAGAUCACCAGGCUAUGUGAGACUCGUCUCGCUAGCCCGUCAUCCAGACUCUGGCUCAGCCGAGACUCGCCACACAUGUCCAGCUGGUGAACCGGCUCUGAUACCAAAUGUAACGACCCAGCCCACUAGCAACAAUAACUCGUUGGGCCCAACAAUCAGCCCAAAAUGCUUAAGCCCAGUUAUUAUUACUAGUGUCUAAGUCUAUUAUAAACCCAAUGACAACCCCAUUUCUAUCCGAUGUGGGAUUAUUGGGGUGUCACACAUGCAUCAUUAUAUUUUCAUCAUUACUUUACCCUAAAAUGCAUGCAACAAUAUAUUUACACAUGCUCAAAUGAAUGACACAUUAGGCAUAGAGAGAAGUUCAAUGAGUUUGAGAAGCACCACCCACCUCGUAGGCUUUCAAAGGUGCUCCGACGAUUUUUUUUGGGAUUUUUAGGCUUCUCGUUCUUUACCUGCGGCAAAACGAAGCCCUAAUAGGUCAUUUUGCUCAUAUCUUUUCAUUGGUUCUUCGUAAUGUUAAUCCGAGCGCACCAACGCGUCGGAAAUACCCCCAAUUAGGUUUCUAGAGGGUCAAUUGCAUUUAGAAAUCCCCAUGAGCAAAAGCCCCAAUUUGGGUGCCCUAGCUCCAUAGCAUCAUCAAACCUAGGGUUUGAUCUCAAAGAGAAGCAAAAGUAGCUUCAUUAUACUCUAAAAAACUCAUUAGAACCAUCUUUAGACAAAUCAAAACCCUACUUAGGGUUUCACCAUGAGAGGUGAUGAAGCUCACCUCAUGCUUCACCAUUUCUAUGGUCUUAAUCUCAAAAGAAGCAAAAGAAAAGCUUCAAAUACUCAAAUGGUUCCAUAAAACCCAUUUUAAGCUUAAUCCAAACCCUAGAUUAGGUUCUACCAUGAUUAGGGUUCAAAGCUUACCUUGUAAGCUCUCCUUUUCCAAGCUAGAGAUGAGGGAGAGGGAGUUUCUCCACUUCCUCUUCUUCUUCUCCACUUUCUUCUUCUUCUUUUCCUACUUUCCCUUCUCUUCUUCUUCUCCUUCUUUGUCUUCUAGAGAGAGAAAGAGAGAUGAGAGUAGGAGAGGGAGUGAAAUGAGAGAAAUAUCUCAUUUACCCUCUAACUAUACUCAAUGGAUUGCCAAAAUGCAAAUAAACCCCUCAACUUUCACCUUAUUCAACUGCCUGGACAGUGCAGAUUUCGGGCUCGGGGACCGGUCUCCACGACUAGGGACCGGUCUCCGAGAGCUCUCCCAGCGCAGCCAGAGCUGCUGCGCGCAAUGCGACCGGUCUCUCUUUGAGGGGACCAAUCUCUGGGGGACCGGUCUCUCGGGGAGGGACCGGUUCCCGAGAGCUGAUUCUCAGGGACUUAGCCGAUUUUUCGGCUGUCUCAUUUCAUACGCGUUCGGAGACCGGUCUCUCCUUCAGGGACCGGUCCCCGAGAGCUGCAAACCUGCAGAAUGCAUAUUUCACAAUUUUAGCUCUCGAAAACCUCCCUUAACUCACUUUCGAUCAUUUUAACACAUUCGGACUUUCCGAAGUGUACCAUCCUCGCACUUUGGUCAAUUUGACUAAAGUUCGAUAUUUAUUUUCUGAAUUUUCGGUAUAUUACACGUCUAAAACGGAAAUAGGGGACGGAUGCUGUGGCGGAGAGAGGAGAAGAAACGAUUUAUUGUAACGGACAUGAGAAGAAGCAAGAUCGCGCGAAGGGGGAGCGAUUUACUGUAACAGACAUGAGAAGAAGCAAGGUCGUGCGGAGGCGGAGCGAUUUACUAUUUUUCGUGAAGAAUAAGCAUGGUCGCGUGUAUUGGUUCAGUUUGAUUUAGAGGUUUAGAUAGUGAACGGUUCGCAUCGGUUCAGUUUGGUCCUAUUCGGUUUAGAGGUUCAGAGAGAGGCAGUUCAAUAGUUCGUUGCAGAUGUUUAGAGACAACAGUUCUAUAGGCAAAAUAGGCAAAACUGUAGCAACGAUGAGGGUAGAACAAUCGACCAGGGUAGACGAAUCGGCGGACGGUAGAUUUGAUGAGACACGAUCCAUCUGAAAUGGUGGUAGAUUUUAGGAGACAUGAUCUCGUCGAUCCCGUCUAAAACUGAAAUAGGGGACGGAUGCUGCGGCGGAGAGAGAAGAAGAAACGAUUUAUUUAAUGGACAUUAGAAGAAGCAAGGUCGCGCGGAGGGAGAGCGAUUUAUUGUAACGAACAUUAGAAGAAACAAGGUCGUGCGGAGGCGGAGCGAUUUACUAUUUUUCGUGGAGAAGAAGGAAGGUCGUGUGUAUUGGUUUGGUUUGAUUUAGAGGUUUAGAUAGUGAACGGUUCGCUUCGGUUCGGUUUGGUUCGGUUUGGUUCAGAGGUUCAGAGAGAAGUAGUUCAAUGAUUCGGUUCAGCUGUUUAGAGACAACAGUUCGGUUCGGUUCGGUUCAGAGGUUCAGGAGAGACAGUUCAAGACUAAAUUACCAGUCAUUCUGGAAAGUAAUAAACGGUUAGAAAUUCUAUGUUGAUCAAAAAGGAACAAUUCAUGGCAAAGAGAACUACUAACCUGAAACUCUAGCAAGAAGGAAACGUCCACAUCUUGUAAAUGUGAGCGUCGAUUUCUAGGGAUAAGACAAUAAGAUUAUUAUAUAAGAAAGAAAUAUUUGAUCUGAAUACCUAAAUUUCUUAUCGUUCAGAUUUUGGAAUAAUAACAUCAGAUGAUGGUUUCUAAUUGAGGCAAGGAUGGAUAUUAUAGGCAAAAUUGUAGCAGCGAGGAAGGUAGAAGAAUCGGCCAAGGUAGAGGAAUCGACAGACAGUACAUUUGAUGAGACACGAUCCAUCUGAAACGGUGGUAGAUUUUAUGAGACAUGAUCUCGUCGAUCCCGUCUAAAAUGGAAAUAGGGGACAGAUGCUGCGGCGGAGAGAGGAGAAGAAACGAUUUAUUGUAACGGACAUGAGAAGAAGUAAGGUCGCGCGAAGGGGGAGCGAUUUACUAUAACAGACAUGAGAAGAAGCAAGGUCGUGCGAAGGCGGAGCGAUUUACUGUUUUGCGUGGAGAAGAAGCAAGGUCGUGUGUAUUGGUUUGGUUUGAUUUAGAGGUUUAGAUAGUGAACGGUUCGCUUCGGUUCGGUUUGGUUCGGUUUGGUUCAGAGGUUCAGAGAGAGGUAGUUCAAUAGUUCGGUUCAGAUGUUUAGAGACAACAGUUCGGUUCGUUUCGGUUCAGAGGUUCAGAGAGAGACAGUUCAAGACUAAAUUACAAAUCAUUCUAGAAAAUAAUAAACGGUUAGAAAUUCUAUGUUGAUCAAAAAGGAACAAUUCAUGGCAAAAAGAACUACUAACCUGAAACCCUAGCAAGAAGGAAACGUUUAGAUCUUGUAAAUGUGAGCAUCGAUUUCUAGGGAUAAGAUAAUAAGAUUAUUAUAUAAGAAAGAAAGAUUUGAUCUUAAUAUCUAAAUUUCUUAUCGUUCAGAUUUUGGAAUAAUAACAUCAGAUGAUGGUUUCGAUCUGAAGCAAGGAUGGAUUUUAUAGGCAAAAUUGUAGCAGCGAGGAAGGUAGAAGAAUCGGCCAUGGUAGAGGAAUCGACAGACGGUAGAUUUGAUGAGACACGAUCCAUCUGAAACGGUGGUAGAUUUUAUGAGACACGAUCUCGUCGAUCCCAUCUAAAACGAAAAUAGGGGACGGAUGCUGCGGCAAAGAGAGGAGAAGAAACGAUUUAUUGUAACGGACACGAGAAGAAGCAAGGUCGCGCAGAGGGGGAGCGAUUUACUGUAACAGACAUGAGAAGAAGCAAGGUCGUGCGGAGGCAGAGGGAUUUACUAUUUUUCUUGGAGAAUAAGCAAGGUCGCGUGUAUUGGUUCAGUUUGAUUUAGAGGUUUAGAUAGUGAACGAUUCGCAUCAGUUCAGUUUGGUCCUGUUCGGUUUAGAGGUUCAGAGAGAGGUAGUUCAAUGGUUCGGUUCAGAUGUUUAGAGACAAUGGUUCUAUAGGAAAAAUAGGCAAAAAUGUAGCAGCGAUGAGGGUAGAAGAAUCGGCCAGGGUAGAGGAAUCGGCGGACGGUAGAUUUGAUGAGACACGAUCCAUCUGAAACGGUGGUAGAUUUUAUGAGACACGAUCUCGUCGAUCCCAUCUGAAAUAGAAAUAGGGGACGGAUGCUGCGGCGGAGAGAGGAGAAGAAACGAUUUAUUGUAACGGACAUGAGAAGAAGCAAGGUCGCGCGGAGGGGAAGAGAUUUAUUGUAACGGACAUGAGAAGAAGCAAGGUCGUGCGGAGGCAGAGCGAUUUACUGUUUGGCGUGGAGAAGAAGCAAGGUCGUGUGCAUCGGUUUGGUUUGAUUUAGAGGUUUAGAUAGUGAACGGUUCGCAUCGGUUCGGUUUGGUUCGGUUUGGUUCAGAGGUUCAGAGAGAGGUAAUUCAAUGGUUCGGUUCAGAUGUUUAGAGACAACAGUUCGGUUCGGUUCGGUUCGGUUCGGUUCGGUUCGGUUCAGAGGUUCAGAGAUAGGCAGUUCAAGACUAAAUUACCAAUCAUUCUAGAAAAUAAUAAACGGUUGGAAAUUCUAUAUUGAUCAAAAAGGAACAAUUCAUGGCAAAGAGAACUACUAACCUGAAACCCUUGCAAGAAGGAAACGUCCAGAUCUUGUAAAGGUGGGCGUUGAUUUCAAGGGAUAAGACAAUAAGAUUAUUAUAUAAGAAAGAAAGAUUUGAUCUGAAUACCUAAAUUUCUUAUCGUUCAGAUUUUGGAUUAAUAACAUUAGAUGAUGGUUUCAAUCUAAGGCAAGGAUGGAUUUUAUAGGCAAAAUUGUAGCAGCGAGGAAGGUAGAAGAAUCGGCCAGGGUAGAGGAAUCGGCAGACGGUAGAUUUGAUGAGACACGAUCCAUCUGAAACGGUGGUAGAUUUUAUGAGACACGAUCUCGUCGAUCCCGUCUAAAACGGAAAUAGAGGACGGAUGCUGCGGCGGAGAGAGGAGAAGAAAUGAUUUAUUGUAACGGACGGGAGAAGAAGCAAGGUCGCGCAGAGAGGGAGCAAUUUACUGUAACAGACAUGAGAAGAAGGUCGUGCGGAGGUGGAACGAUUUGCUAUUUUUCGUGGAGAAUAAGCAAGGUCGCGUGUAUUGGUUCAGUUUGAUUUAGAGGUUUAGAUAGUGAACGGUUCGCAUCGGUUCAGUUUGGUCCUGUUCGGUUUAGAGGUUCAGAGAGAGGCAGUUCAAUGGUUCGGUUCAGAUGUUUAGAGACAACGGUUCUAUAGGCAAAAUAGGCAAAAAUGUAGCCGCGAGGAUGGUAGAAGAAUCGGCCAGAGUAUAGGAAUUGGCGGACGGUAGAUUUGAUGAGACACGAUCUAUCUUAAACGGUGGUAGAUUUUAUGAGACACGAUCUCGUCGAUCCCGUCUGAAACUGAAAUAGGGGACGGAUGCUGCGGCGAAGAGAGAAGAAGAAACGAUUUAUUGUAACGGACAUGAGAAGAAGCAAGGUCGCGCGGAGGGGGAGCGAUUUAUUGUAACGGACAUGAGAAGAAGCAAUGUCGUGCAGAGGCCGAGCGAUUUACUGUUUGGCGUGGAGAAGAAGCAAGGUCGUGUGUAUUGGUUUAGUUUGAUUUAGAGGUUUAGAUAGUGAACGGUUCGCUUCGGUUCGGUUUGGUUCGGUUUGGUCCAGAGGUUCUGUCACG